AGAGGGUGAUCGGCCACACUGGGACUGAGACACGGCCCAGACUCCUACGGGAGGCAGCAGUAGGGAAUCUUCCGCAAUGGACGAAAGUCUGACGGAGCAACGCCGCGUGAGUGAUGAAGGGUUUCGGCUCGUAAAGCUCUGUUGUUAGGGAAGAACAAGUAUCGUUCGAAUAGGGCGGUACCUUGACGGUACCUGACCAGAAAGCCACGGCUAACUACGUGCCAGCAGCCGCGGUAAUACGUAGGUGGCAAGCGUUGUCCGGAAUUAUUGGGCGUAAAGCGCGCGCAGGCGGUUUCUUAAGUCUGAUGUGAAAGCCCCCGGCUCAACCGGGGAGGGUCAUUGGAAACUGGGAGACUUGAGUGCAGAAGAGGAGAGUGGAAUUCCACGUGUAGCGGUGAAAUGCGUAGAUAUGUGGAGGAACACCAGUGGCGAAGGCGACUCUCUGGUCUGUAACUGACGCUGAGGCGCGAAAGCGUGNGGAGCAAACAGGAUUAGAUACCCUGGUAGUCCACGCCGUAAACGAUGAGUGCUAGGUGUUAGGGGUUUCGAUGCCCUUAGUGCCGAAGUUAACACAUUAAGCACUCCGCCUGGGGAGUACG
rnacentral:rRNA from 1 species